UACGGAGGGUGCAAACGUUGCUCGGAAUCAUUGGGCGUAAAGCGCGCGUAGGCGGUCAGGUAAGUCCGGUGUGAAAGUCAAAGGCUCAACCUUUGAAUGCCGCUGGAAACUGCCUGACUUGAGUCCGGUAGGGGCGAGUGGAAUUCCUGGUGUAGCGGUGAAAUGCGCAGAUAUCAGGAAGAACACCAAUGGCGAAAGCAGCUCUCUGGGACGGUACUGACGCUGAGACGCGAAAGCGUGGGGAGCGAACAGG
rnacentral:rRNA from 1 species